GAAGCACACAAGCACACAACGUUAUAGCCCAGCCCACAAACACCGAAACGCUUCAUCGGUUCACCCUGAAAGUGUGAAAAUGGCGGGGUGAAAAGAAAAGAAAACACAUCAUCCACUAGAACUAGUGUCCCACUUACCUACAGUGUAAAGCAGCGGGGGUCUGUCUGCACGAGCGGUACACGUUGCGUAGUGAGCGAGAGAAAGCCCUAAGUUGCCCACACGACUCACUGUAUGUCGCCGACAAUCGCACACCAAAACAACCGUUGUUUGUGACAGACAGUCGAUCGAACCGCAGCAGUGUCGGAGCCUAUUUCCACCCCAAAAUGUGACAUUCCAGCCAUGCACAGAGCGAGAAAGCCCCCUUCCCUCUCUUCCUUUGAGAGCCAGACACAACAAUUAGGACAUUGAUAAAGAGCCUACUCGUGUCCGAAAAGGCGUUGCUGAGCCAACACGAGAUCCCUUAUGAAUGCAGCGACUUGAGACACACCGCGCGAGGAGCGCCACAAAGCGAGGCACGAGGAGACUGAAUUAAUGUAUACUCACAGGAAACAGGCAGGCCCACUGACGUCACCGGGGGUCCCGUCUCCGCCUCCUAACCGCAGAAUGACAACUACAGGGGGGGGCGUUCGACGGACGCACGUAGCUGUGUUUAUUUCAACUAAAAUAAGUUUUAAACGCGCACGACUCGUCUUUAUUUAUGUUUUUGCUUUAGUUUUGAGCCGAACUUUGUCAUUUGUUCGUUUCAACGCCGUGGGACGUUCAAAUGACGAGUAGGUCGACGGCGUCGCUUGUCGCGGACCCCCUUCCAGUGGCCCCCUCUGCACAUACUUUAGGACUGACGGUUUUCCCGGAGGUUCCUUGUUGUCAGGUCACGUUGUGCCCCCUCCACCACUACCGACCGACCGGGCUUUCCCAUGCAAACAGCCGCUGUAGGGAGAGAGCAAUGAGGAUCUCUGUAUCCGCCGGGACGGAAGCAUUUUUUGGCGGGCCAACGGACUGUAGGCCUACUGCAAUAAAAGCGAGGUUUCUUUUCAUCGACGACGACGACUCACGCAACCAUAGGGACCUUUAUGUUGUAG
ensembl:lncRNA